AGUGAACGCUGGCGGUAGGCCUAACACAUGCAAGUCGAACGGCAGCACAGUAAGAGCUUGCUCUUACGGGUGGCGAGUGGCGGACGGGUGAGGAAUACAUCGGAAUCUACUUUUUCGUGGGGGAUAACGUAGGGAAACUUACGCUAAUACCGCAUACGACCUACGGGUGAAAGCAGGGGAUCUUCGGACCUUGCGCGAGUGAAUGAGCCGAUGUCGGAUUAGCUAGUUGGCGGGGUAAAGGCCCACCAAGGCGACGAUCCGUAGCUGGUCUGAGAGGAUGAUCAGCCACACUGGAACUGAGACACGGUCCAGACUCCUACGGGAGGCAGCAGUGGGGAAUAUUGGACAAAGGGCGCAAGCCUGAUCCAGCCAUACCGCGUGGGUGAAGAAGGCCUUCGGGUUGUAAAGCCCUUUUGUUGGGAAAGAAAAGCAGCAGGUUAAUACCCCGCUGUUCUGACGGUACCCAAAGAAUGAGCACCGGCUAACUUCGUG
rnacentral:rRNA from 1 species